rnacentral:hammerhead_ribozyme from 1 species
GUCCCGCUAACGAGUCCCAAAUAGGACGAAACGCGCGUCCUGGAU